rnacentral:lncRNA from 1 species
UUUUUUUUUUUUUUUUGAAGAAUCAAGGCCCGAUCUUACCCAAGUUCUCUAUUCGAGGUACUUAACCAUAUUCUACACCAUAUGUGUACAAAAGUGUAUACAAGGGUGUUAAAUGGGUUGAACCAACAAGAAUUAAAACUCAAAAGUGCUUAUGACGAUGUCCUUUUCUCAUGCCACCAAGUAGUUUGGUAAUAUUGCGAACAAGGGCUUUGUAUAAACUCUGUCACUUUUUUUAACAAAUUUAGUCCACUGGAUCAAUGCUUGAUAUACAAAUUGAUCUUUUUUGCAAAUCGAAACGUGAAAUAGACAUUGAUUUUCAUGUGCUAAUAAUUAAGGAAAUAAUAGUUUUAUAGAAAAUGGUCAAAAAUACUUGCCACACAUUGCGAUUGCUUCCAAGACAAGGCCAAUGUUGAGAAACGUGGCGAGACAAUAUUACCCCAAUUAGAGGUUUUUUUUACGUAGUUAAUAUCGAAUGCUAUUGAUUAUGAUUUUUUAUUGAUGUUUGUUUUUGUCUUCUGGUUUUUAAUUGGUUUUCUUUUGAUCUCAACGUGAUAGAAACUCAACUCAAAAACGAUGAAGACUCUUGAUUGUGCAAAAAAGGGUUAUGCUGAAUGUUCGAAUAACACCAUCACCAAUGGAGACCACAUUCUUAUACAACUGCACUGA